rnacentral:rRNA from 1 species
GACGAACGCUGGCGGCGUGCUUAACACAUGCAAGUCGAACGGAAAGGCCCUGCUUUUGUGGGGUGCUCGAGUGGCGAACGGGUGAGUAACACGUGAGUAACCUGCCCUUGACUUUGGGAUAACUUCAGGAAACUGGGGCUAAUACCGGAUAGGAGCUCCUGCUGCAUGGUGGGGGUUGGAAAGUUUCGGCGGUUGGGGAUGGACUCGCGGCUUAUCAGCUUGUUGGUGGGGUAGUGGCUUACCAAGGGUUUGACGGGUAGCCGGCCUGGGAGGGGGACCGGCCACCAUGGGACUGAGAUACGGCCCAGUCGCCUAAGUGAGGCAGCAGUGGGGAAUAUUGCACAAUGGGCGGAAGCCUGAUGAGACAGCGCCGCGGUCGGGAUGACGGCCUUCGGGUUGUAAACCGCUUUCGCCUGUGACGAAGCGUGAGUGACGGUAAUGGGUAAAGAAGCACCGGCUAACUACGUG